rnacentral:rRNA from 1 species
AUACAUGCAAGUCGAGCGAACAGACGAGGAGCUUGCUCCUCUGACGUUAGCGGCGGACGGGUGAGUAACACGUGGAUAACCUACCUAUAAGACUGGGAUAACUUCGGGAAACCGGAGCUAAUACCGGAUAAUAUAUUGAACCGCAUGGUUCAAUAGUGAAAGACGGUUUUGCUGUCACUUAUAGAUGGAUCCGCGCCGCAUUAGCUAGUUGGUAAGGUAACGGCUUACCAAGGCAACGAUGCGUAGCCGACCUGAGAGGGUGAUCGGCCACACUGGAACUGAGACACGGUCCAGACUCCUACGGGAGGCAGCAGUAGGGAAUCUUCCGCAAUGGGCGAAAGCCUGACGGAGCAACGCCGCGUGAGUGAUGAAGGUCUUCGGAUCGUAAAACUCUGUUAUUAGGGAAGAACAAAUGUGUAAGUAACUAUGCACGUCUUGACGGUACCUAAUCAGAAAGCCACGGCUAACUACGUGCCAGCAGCCGCGGUAAUACGUAGGUGGCAAGCGUUAUCCGGAAUUAUUGGGCGUAAAGCGCGCGUAGGCGGUUUUUUAAGUCUGAUGUGAAAGCCCACGGCUCAACCGUGGAGGGUCAUUGGAAACUGGAAAACUUGAGUGCAGAAGAGGAAAGUGGAAUUCCAUGUGUAGCGGUGAAAUGCGCAGAGAUAUGGAGGAACACCAGUGGCGAAGGCGACUUUCUGGUCUGUAACUGACGCUGAUGUGCGAAAGCGUGGGGAUCAAACAGGAUUAGAUACCCUGGUAGUCCACGCCGUA